AUGGAUAGCGACGCAUCAUCUUCGAGUCUUGUUUUGGACUCUGAUCCUCCUCAAAUUCGUCCGCCAGGACAGAUUAGACGAAGUUUCGGCGUAGAUUCCUGCCAGCUCCUCAGAGCGGCAUGGUUAAGUAAACAUGUAACGGUGGGUGGUUGGUUGGCAAGCUCGUUUGCCCAGUUCGCUCGGGUCGCUGAUAAUCGUGUUGACAAGAAUGCUUUGUUGAAAUUGUUAGGAUGGUUUGGCUUCUCGAUGGUCAUUGGGACAAACAACACCGGUCGUACGCUAUGUCGGUGGAGCUGCGGGUUGGAUAGGAAAAAGCAGCGGAAGAUCAAGGAUUGGGCCAAGCAUCACAGGAAGUAUGUCGUGCAGUUCGCUCUUAGUGUGGAGCAAGCAAGGGCUGGAAAACGAGCCCAGCUUCGUGAGCACUGCCCGAUCGCGUUCAACAACUAUCUCACAUGGUUUCUUGCAAGUACCCGCGUGGAGGUAUGCCAGCCGGCGUAUGCUGAGGAGAUUCUGGAAGAACCCACCGUUUUUGAUGAGGUAGCCCAGCACCAGUACAACGCAUUAGUCAGGAAAGGCAACUCAGUGAUCCCUUCAGCUCCGAUGAUGAACUUUGUGCGCCAGGGCCAAAAGUUAAGGCGGCUAUCAAACCUUUUCGGUUGUCGUGACCCCAAGUAUGUAUCACCAGAACGGUCUAGGUCGGCGACACCAUCAGAUCCCGCUAAGGGGCAGGGCCAUGGUGAACCUUUCGAGGAUGAGGACGUGGGUGUGGUCACCCAAGAGGUUGCUGAUGAUAUGACCGUGGGGAGGUACCAGGCUCGGUCUGCAUACGAGUUGAAGCAUAGGACGGGAAUCAACAAGUACACACCUGAAGACUUCACCCAAAGAGGCCAAAGAGGCAAAAGGACGGUCGACACCUCACGGAUGGCGGCUUUGGAUGACUAUUUGGAUGACUAUGUAGAUGACGUGGACGAACCGGAGCCGGAGCCGGAGCCGGAGCGGGUUCCUCUUUCUAGGAAGUGGUGGUAG
rnacentral:rRNA from 1 species